GCCGCGGUAAUACGUAGGGUGCGAGCGUUAAUCGGAAUUACUGGGCGUAAAGCGUGCGCAGGCGGAUUGUUAAGUCAGGGGUGAAAUCCUGGAGCUCAACUCCAGAACUGCCUUUGAUACUGGCGAUCUUGAGUUCGGGAGAGGUGAGUGGAACUGCGAGUGUAGAGGUGAAAUUCGUAGAUAUUCGCAAGAACACCAGUGGCGAAGGCGGCUCACUGGCCCGAUACUGACGCUGAGGUGCGAAAGCGUGGGGAGCAAACAG
rnacentral:rRNA from 1 species